UUGCUUCAGUAGCACAUACACUAAAAUUGGAAUGAUACAGAGAAGAUGAGCACUGCUCCUACACACAAACUCAUGAAGCAGUCCAUGUUAAA
ensembl:snRNA U6 U6 spliceosomal RNA